rnacentral:rRNA from 1 species
UAGGGAAUCUUCGGCAAUGGGGGGAACCCUGACCGAGCAACGCCGCGUGAGUGAAGAAGGUUUUCGGAUCGUAAAGCUCUGUUGUUAAGGAAGAACGAGUGUGAGAAUGGAAAGUUCAUACUGUGACGGUACUUAACCAGAAAGGGACGGCUAACUACGUGCCAGCAGCCGCGGUAAUACGUAAGGUCCGAGCGUUGUCCGGAAUCAUUGGGCGUAAAGGGUACGUAGGCGGGUAAGCAAGUUAGAAGUGAAAUCCUAUAGCUCAACUAUAGUAAGCUUUUAAAACUGCUCAUCUUGAGGUAUGGAAGGGAAAGUGGAAUUCCUAGUGUAGCGGUGAAAUGCGCAGAUAUUAGGAGGAAUACCGGUGGCGAAGGCGACUUUCUGGCCAUAACCUGACGCUGAGGUACGAAAGCGUGGGUAGCAAACAGG